CAGCCGUAAACUAUGCGCGUUAGGUGUAUCGGUGACCACGAGUUACCGAGGUGCCGAAGGGAAACCGUGAAACGUGCCGCCUGGGAAGUACGGUCGCAAGGCUGAAACUUAAAGGAAUUGGCGGGGGAGCACCUCAACGGGUGGAGCCUGCGGUUUAAUUGGACUCAACGCCGGAAAUCUCACCGGAUAGGACAGACAUAUGAUAGUCGGGCUGAAGACUCUACUUGAUGAUCUGAGAGGAGGUGCAUGGCGUCAGUGACU
rnacentral:rRNA from 1 species